UACGUAGGGGGCAAGCGUUGUCCGGAUUUAUUGGGCGUAAAGAGCUCGUAGGCGGUUCGGUAAGUCAGGUGUGAAAUCUCCACGCUCAACGUGGAGGCGCCACCUGAAACUGCCGUGACUCGAGUCCGGUAGGGGAGACUGGAAUUCCUGGUGUAGCGGUGAAAUGCGCAGAUAUCAGGAGGAACACCGAUGGCGAAGGCAGGUCUCUGGGCAUUAACUGACGCUGAGGAGCGAAAGCAUGGGGAGCGAACAGG
rnacentral:rRNA from 1 species